rnacentral:rRNA from 1 species
AUUGAACGCUGGCGGCAUGCCUUACACAUGCAAGUCGAACGGUAACGGGCCUUCGGGUGCCGACGAGUGGCGAACGGGUGAGUAAUACAUCGGAACGUGCCCGAUCGUGGGGGAUAACGAGGCGAAAGCUUUGCUAAUACCGCAUACGAUCUACGGAUGAGAGCAGGGGACCGCAAGGCCUUGCGCGGACGGAGCGGCCGAUGGCAGAUUAGGUAGUUGGUGGGAUAAAAGCUUACCAAGCCGACGAUCUGUAGCUGGUCUGAGAGGAUGAUCAGCCACACUGGGACUGAGACACGGCCCAGACUCCUACGGGAGGCAGCAGUGGGGAAUUUUGGACAAAGGGCGCAAGCCUGAUCCAGCCAUGCCGCGUGCAGGAUGAAGGCCUUCGGGUUGUAAACUGCUUUUGUACGGAACGAAAAGCCUUCUUUUAAUACAGGAGGGUCAUGACGGUACCGUAAGAAUAAGCACCGGCUAACUACGUG